AUUGAACGCUGGCGGCAGGCCUAACACAUGCCAGUCGAGCGGAUGAAGGGAGCUUGCUCCUGGAUUCAGCGGCGGACGGGUGAGUAAUGCCUAGGAAUCUGCCUGGUAGUGGAGGAUAACGUCCGGAAACGGGCGCUAAUACCGCAUACGUCCUGAGGGAGAAAGUGGGGGAUCUUCGGACCUCACGCUAUCAGAUGAGCCUAGGUCGGAUUAGCUAGUUGGUGGGGUAAAGGCCUACCAAGGCGACGAUCCGUAACUGGUCUGAGAGGAUGAUCAGUCACACUGGAACUGAGACACGGUCCAGACUCCUACGGGAGGCAGCAGUGGGGAAUAUUGGACAAUGGGCGAAAGCCUGAUCCAGCCAUGCCGCGUGUGUGAAGAAGGUCUUCGGAUUGUAAAGCACUUUAAGUUGGGAGGAAGGGCAGUAAGUUAAUACCUUGCUGUUUUGACGUUACCAACAGAAUAAGCACCGGCUAACUUCGUG
rnacentral:rRNA from 1 species